CAUAUAGGUGACAGACUGUAUUACCCUGCAAAGAGAUGCAAGCAUACAACUGUUCAUAAAGGUUGUCUUAUUGUAGUGGGUCCCACAGAGUCUGAUAUUAUGUGAUAAAACUAUAAUAAUUCAUGCAGAAGCCAGACUAUCUACAACAGCUAGCGAGGAAAUGGAAAAUGGAUACCACAAAAUGCUACUGGAAAAUCCCAAAAUAAUUAAUGCAGAUGUCAACAGAAAGAAAAAUUCCCAGGGAGAGUCAUCGUAUCUGGAAAAAGGCACAUAAACAACUGGCAAACCCUUUCUACAAAGGAUAUGAGGGUACCUAUUUAGAACAUAAAAGAAGAGGGAACUGCCUGUUAUGUGUUCUGAAAUGAUCCCUUUUCAUUACAACUUCAGAAUUUUUUGUCUCUGG
ensembl:lncRNA